CAGCAGCCACGGGAAUACGUAGGUGGCAAGCGUUGUCCGGAAUUAUUGGGCGUAAGGGGCUCGCAGGCGGUUUCUUAAGUCUGAUGUGAAAGCCCCCGGCUCAACCGGGGAGGGUCAUUGGAAACCGGGAAACUUGAGUGCAGAAGAGGAGAGUGGAAUUCCACGUGUAGCGGUGAAAUGCAUAGAGAUGUGGAGGAACACCAGUGGCGAAGGCGACUCUCUGGUCUGUAACUGACGCUGAGGAGCGAAAGCGUGGGGAGCGAACAGGAUUAGAUACCCGAGUAGUCCCUGUCUCUUAUAC
rnacentral:rRNA from 1 species